rnacentral:rRNA from 1 species
UACGAAGGGGGCUAGCGUUGUUCGGAAUUACUGGGCGUAAAGCGUAUGUAGGCGGAUCUUUAAGUCAGGGGUGAAAUCCUGGAGCUCAACUCCAGAACUGCCUUCGAUACUGGCGACCUUGGAGUCCGGGAGAGGUGAGUGGAACUGCGAGUGUAGAGGUGAAAUUCGUAGAUAUUCGCAAGAACACCAGUGGCGAAGGCGGCUCACUGGCCCGGUACUGACGCUGAGGUGCGAAAGCGUGGGGAGCAAACAGG